GCUCACUCUGAACUUCAGCUCAAGUGCAGAGUGAAGUUCCAGGCUGUCCAAUACGGCAGAACAGAAACAGCAACAACACACUAGCCACCUGCCAGCCCAGCAGACAGCCCAGGGCCCACUGAACUGUCCUGCAUGGCAGCAGACUGCAUACCAGGAUCUUCCCUUGAAUAGGAAACGCCUCCCAAGGUUACUCCUUGUGGCUGAGAGAUUCCUUGCUGCAUCAGAUUCUUGGCGUUAACAUUUUAGCAUGCAUAUUUGAAUGAGAAACUGGACAGAAUCCUAUAUAAACUUCUUCCACAGACUCAGCCAAUUACUCCACCCUACUGGGAAGUUAUAAGCCCAGAAGAUGGAGAUUGAGACUGCAGACGAAGUUGCUAUUGUUGGAAUAGGAUGCAACUUUCCUGGAGG